GUAGUAGUACAAUGGAUAGUGCGCCUGCCUUGUAAGCAGGAAAUGGGGGUUCGAUUCCCUCUUACG
rnacentral:tRNA from 1 species